rnacentral:lncRNA from 1 species
UUUGUACUAUAUUAAAACAUUGUUUUUGUAAAGUUACAAAACAGAAUGAAUUCAACUCAUCCUAAAAUACCAUCAAUUGUGAAAAGCAAUAGACCAUGUGAAAUUAGCACCUCCCUCCACUACAUUCAUCCUCCUAAAGGAUUAAUACAGUGUUAUUACAGAUACUUCUAGUUAUGGACUAAGACCAAAAAGGAAAGACAGACACAUAUUAGGGAUAAUCAUAUGUAGUGAAAAGAAGAAAAAUUCCAUAAUGCAUUUCAAAAUAUAGAUUAAAAAAGUUUGGAAAAGAAGACUAACUGAAAUUUACUUAAGAAAAAGUAGAAAAGUUUGACCUCAAACUAGAGAAAAGAUUCAUCAAGUCUCUCCAAAGAAGAUUCAUACCGAGAUAGUUCUAUAGGUAUCAAUGCUAUUUUAAAAGGUACAUUUCUAUGAAAAAUAGAUAAAGGAACGUGCAGCACUAAAAACUGACACCAGAACCCCAACGCCCCAUCUGACGGCAGGGCCUCUUGCUGUUCUGCAUUUAUGUGGUCCAUGUGGCCUUCACUGACUCUGAGCACCUGGGGCUGUAUUGGUUGACUGAAUUUGGCAGAAAAUGGUGCUAGUCCACUACCAGGCCUAGUCAUUCAGAAAACUAGCAGCACGCACAUCCACCUUCUUAACCCUGCAGGGUCCCA